AAAGGUACAAGAGAGAGAGAGAGGGAGAGGGAGAGGGAAAGAGAGAGAGAUUUGAUGAAGAAGGGACGCGCGAGUCGCUCUCAAAUAUAAUACAUAUCUAUCCAUCGUUGUCGUCCAACGACCUCAUCAAUAAAAUAGGUCCAUUACUAUCAAUCUAACAUAUGUGAAUGAGUACUCACUCUCUCUCUCUCCCUCCCUCCCUCUUUCCCUUUCUCUCUCU
rnacentral:precursor_RNA from 1 species